AUUUGAUAAACAAAUUUUAUAUCCCGGUCAAAUAGCGUCCGGUAGUUUUAAUUCACACAGGCUAUUCUAUCUUAUGGUAAGUAGUGGACAUUUGUAUCACACUUAUUUCAUACAUAUUGUACGUAUAUCACUAUUUUGUAUGCAUGGGAGAGUAUGUGAAAGAUAUAUAUCACGUUGACUACAAGUAGUUGACAUUUGAAAUAUUAUAUACUCAAACAAAAACAGCACUACAGUAAAUUUGAGUAUUAAUAGCAUCAAAUUAUAGCGUUUAUGACAAUUCUGCUAUUGUAUGCCAACACUUGAUUUUUUAAUAGCGUUUAUCUGUUUAAAACGCAAUAUUUGUUAUCGCGGGAAAACAAAAAAAAUUAGGCGCAUUAAUUUUCUAAGUGAGGCUCCAACACUUAGAAAAAAUAAAUAUUUUGCCACCAAAACAGUUUUCAGAUUCACCGAAAUGGCUUUGUAUUGUUUCUCGUUUCAAAAAAAAAAAGGCUUUGUAUGGUUUCUCAGAAUCAUAAACUGAAGUCUCUUUCUCCAAUCUCUCUCGCGAAAUCAUCGUCUCUUCAUCUCCAUCUCUCCUCCGUCGUGUUUAUCGGUCAUUAUUUUCAUGGCUUCCACCGGACAAACCUCCAAUCUUCGUCGUUCACUUUCUCUUUUUAAGUUUGUCUUGAUUUGGGGUUUUUAGGUUUGGGUUUCGAUUUGCCUUGACUAUCUGUUUCUAGGUCCACACAUGUCUCGCCGAACUUUAUACCGUCGAAUCCUCCUCCCCCUCGCCGCCGUCACUCCUCACUUCCUCGCCUCAACGUCAGAUAUGCCGUCACCUCCGUUGGUUACAGAGAAGCAGCAGUUCCUGGAGCUUUCGACUUCACCAAUUCAUCCUCUCGGGGGCAAUCGAGUUUUGACGAGUUUUGUCCGAUUUGGUGAAGGCUUGGAGUUUGGGGAAAGUAGAUUUCUGAGAAGCAGUGUUGGGAGUGGUCGUGAACUUGUAACACAAAAACAAGAAGAAAGAAGGAUCCGUAAUUCAUCGAGAACAUCUCAUGUUUGUAAGUUUCAGAUGACACAUAAUUCUCCAAGAACAGCUUGCUAGUUUCUAAGUCUGGCCGGAAGACAAUGAUCAUGUUGGCUUUUCCAUGUGCUUGUUUCACCUCUAUGCUCUAUAUAAUUUGAAGUCUUUGAGAAGCAAAGGGAGAAGAGGAGGAUGUAAACGUCGAUUUGACUGAACAUAUGAAAGCCAGUGACGUUGAAAUUCCAUCUGAAUCUAUAACCUCAAAACUUUCUAAACGUUCUUUAAGUAUUAUAUGCCUGGGAAACUUUAUAUUUUGUUUUGUGACAAAGUUUAGAAUGGGUACAUAAUUGUCUCUUUAAAUAUAUAUAUUAAAUCUUCGUUUAUGGAUAUGGAUUGAUUAAGCUCAAUGAGAAAUAAGGUUUUUAAAUAUCAAAAGGAAAACAACUAUUACAAAGCCAAGGAACAGUAAAUAAAGUAAUGCAAAAUUGAAUAUUUCGUAGACUGAUGAAUCAUCCAGACAUUUAGGGCAGUGGCACCAAUUGAUAGAGUUCCAUUAUUAGACUUUAUAUAUAAUUAAUGGUUUAAACCCCUAAACAUAAAUUUAGAAUUACAAUAUUUUCAUGAUAUAAUUUCAAUCAAAAACUUAAAUGUAAUCAUUUUAAAAUCUAAUCUCAAAUUUAAAUUCUAAACCUCAAACACUAGAUCUUUAAUCUACACCCUAAACUCUAAACCCCAAACUUAAACUCUACAUACAAUACAAUGUCAUAAAUCUAAUUUUUUCAAACCUAUAAUAAAAAAAUUAAACUUAAUUUUAGAAAGCAUGUCUAAAAACAUAUUUAGCACAUGUUUAAAAACAUAUGUUGUAUAGCACAUGUUUAAAAAAUUUACAAAACAUGUCUAAAAACAUAUUUUGCACAUACUUUUAAACUUCAAUAAUUUAAAACAUGAGUCUUUUAUAUACUAAGAUGAAUAAGACACCUAAAACAUUUAAAACAUAUUAAAAACAUAUCUAACUAUAUAGGGUUUAUAACUUUUAAAUAUAAAACUAUAAAUCUAAUACCCUAAACAACAUAUUCUUGACACCAAACCCUAUAUCAUAAACAAUAACCUUUCAUUUUAAACUUGUAAUCUUAAAAUUUUAAUUAUAAAUCAUAAAAUCAAAAUAUAAAUUAACUAUAUAGGUUAUAACUUUAAAAUACAAAACUAUAAAUCUAAUACCCUAAACAACAUACUCUUAACACCAAACCCUAUAUCAUCAUCUCUAAACUUUAUAGUUUAUCCAAAUAUCAAUCACAAAUUUUAAUUUUUAAAAGUAUAAAUUUAAAUCUAAAAAAUUUGAAUUGUGAAUUAUAAAUUUAGAUGUUCUCUCAAAAUAAGUUUUAUUUACGAAAAUAUAUCAUAAAUAUUUUAUAUAUUACAAUACAAAAUAGAAUUUAAACAAUCGUGUUAAAAAAGAAUAGGAAAUAAUGUAUAAAAAUUUGAUUGGUCAACAUAAGUAGCCUAUCACAUGCAAGGGCGAGGAUCAUGCGUUAUGUAAUCACGACCAUUGAUUAAAUUUUUUAAAGGGUCAAGAUUCAUUCUGCUUCUUCCUCUCUCUCUCGUCUCUUUUUUUUCAGAUUCUUCAUCCGAUUUUGGAAGAGUUACAGACUCACAAAUCUCAUCUUCAUCCCUCUCGUAUCUCCAAUUUUUUGAAGUCAUCGUCACUACCAAACCUCUUCCAUCGCCUCUGUCUCUCAAUAUUCUUUUCCACUCAACACUACAGAUCCAUGUCUAUCAUCGUCACAACCACCAUCACCAUAACCUUCAACGCCCCCAUCUCUAUCUCCUCGUUCUCUGCCUCCGUCAGUGAAGCUGUCUCAGCCACAAUCACCAAAACCUCAGCCGCUGUCACCAUCAUCUUCAUCUCCACCUCCUCGUUCUCUACUCCGUCAUCGAACUCUGUCUCAACCACUCUUUUUAUCUAUCCUCUUAUCAAAGCUUCUUCUUUUCCAGGGAAGAGGAAGUGGAAUUGAUAAUGGGGCUGGUGGUUGUUCUUGUUCCCGUAGUGCACAACAUUGAUAGGAAGGUGCCGGAUAUGAAGAAGCUGUGAUGGUGGAGAUGGAGCAGAGCAAGAAGAAGAAGAAGAGAAAGAGGGAGAAGGAGAGAAGACAGAGACGUAAGGAAGACGAUGAAGAUGGAGGAGGAGGUGCGACAAAACAAGACGAUGGAAAAAAGGAAGCGGUGUAGAUUAGGUUCACUUUUGGUUGGUUUAUUAGGUUUGGUUUAGAUAGAUUUAGUUUAAUAAAUCAGGUUUGUGUGUAAACCAAUGUUCAUAAAUAAACCGAUAUUAAUUGUAAACCAUUAUUUGUGUACAUUGAUGUUAAUACAUAAAUAAAAUUUAAUUUUUAGUUA